AGAGUUUGAUCAUGGCUCAGAUUGAACGCUGGCGGCAGGCCUAACACAUGCAAGUCGAACGGUAACAGGAAGCAGCUUGCUGCUUUGCUGACGAGUGGCGGACGGGUGAGUAAUGUCUGGGAAACUGCCUGAUGGAGGGGGAUAACUACUGGAAACGGUAGCUAAUACCGCAUAACGUCGCAAGACCAAAGAGGGGGACCUUAGGGCCUCUUGCCAUCGGAUGUGCCCAGAUGGGAUUAGCUAGUAGGUGGGGUAAUGGCUCACCUAGGCGACGAUCCCUAGCUGGUCUGAGAGGAUGACCAGCCACACUGGAACUGAGACACGGUCCAGACUCCUACGGGAGGCAGCAGUGGGGAAUAUUGCACAAUGGGCGCAAGCCUGAUGCAGCCAUGCCGCGUGUAUGAAGAAGGCCUUCGGGUUGUAAAGUACUUUCAGCGGGGAGGAAGGGAGUAAAGUUAAUACCUUUGCUCAUUGACGUUACCCGCAGAAGAAGCACCGGCUAACUCCGUGCCAGCAGCCGCGGUAAUACGGAGGGUGCAAGCGUUAAUCGGAAUUACUGGGCGUAAAGCGCACGCAGGCGGUUUGUUAAGUCAGAUGUGAAAUCCCCGGGCUCAACCUGGGAACUGCAUCUGAUACUGGCAAGCUUGAGUCUCGUAGAGGGGGGUAGAAUUCCAGGUGUAGCGGUGAAAUGCGUAGAGAUCUGGAGGAAUACCGGUGGCGAAGGCGGCCCCCUGGACGAAGACUGACGCUCAGGUGCGAAAGCGUGGGGAGCAAACAGGAUUAGAUACCCUGGUAGUCCACGCCGUAAACGAUGUCGACUUGGAGGUUGUGCCCUUGAGGCGUGGCUUCCGGAGCUAACGUGUUAAGUCGACCGCCUGGGGAGUACGGCCGCAAGGUUAAAACUCAAAUGAAUUGACGGGGGCCCGCACAAGCGGUGGAGCAUGUGGUUUAAUUCGAUGCAACGCGAAGAACCUUACCUGGUCUUGACAUCCACGGAAGUUUUCAGAGAUGAGAAUGUGCCUUCGGGAACCGUGAGACAGGUGCUGCAUGGCUGUCGUCAGCUCGUGUUGUGAAAUGUUGGGUUAAGUCCCGCAACGAGCGCAACCCUUAUCCUUUGUUGCCAGCGGUCCGGCCGGGAACUCAAAGGAGACUGCCAGUGAUAAACUGGAGGAAGGUGGGGAUGACGUCAAGUCAUCAUGGCCCUUACGACCAGGGCUACACACGUGCUACAAUGGCGCAUACAAAGAGAAGCGACCUCGCGAGAGCAAGCGGACCUCAUAAAGUGCGUCGUAGUCCGGAUUGGAGUCUGCAACUCGACUCCAUGAAGUCGGAAUCGCUAGUAAUCGUGGAUCAGAAUGCCACGGUGAAUACGUUCCCGGGCCUUGUACACACCGCCCGUCACACCAUGGGAGUGGGUUGCAAAAGAAGUAGGUAGCUUAACCUUCGGGAGGGCGCUUACCACUUUGUGAUUCAUGACUGGGGUGAAGUCGUAACAAGGUAACCGUAGGGGAACCUGCGGUUGGAUCACCU
rnacentral:rRNA from 1 species